GGGGAUAUAGCUUAGUGGUGGAGCACCUGCCUUCCAUGCACAGGAUAUCUAAAAUUAGGAUUCCUAAUGUUCCCA
rnacentral:tRNA from 1 species